CAAACAAAAUGCUACAGUAUGAAAACUUCAAAAAAAAAUUACAUCUAAACAAGGCCUUAAUCUCACGUUGUAUCACGGAAAGGUUUAGUUUUAGAGAGGCUUCAAGGAACUGAAAGAUAUCUUAACCAGCUUGUCAGGGAAAAAAAUGAUCAGAAGCACCUAAAGCCUAGGUAAUAAAACUGUAAAAGCCAGCUUUUUGACCAAGAGAUGGACUUAGCACCAGAAAAAUAUCUGAACUCUAAAUAUCUGAAGAAGGACCUAUAAAUAGACAGUAAGAAUAAAGCACUCUGCUUGUCGUCUUCCUGGAUAAAGAGCUUUAUGUAACAUUGUUUGCAAAUAAAUGGGAGAAGCACAUAUGAUUCUCUGCGUGAUUUGUUGGCUGCAUGGACUAAUCUGUUUUCUUGAAGAAGUCAUGGUUGACUAAUCUCCAUCCAGUUUGUUUGCUUAGAUGGGCUACCGGGCCGGAGAAUAAUGCAGGUGUAUCCACAUUCCACAAAAUCCAGUCACCUAUUACUAGUUUGGUCAUAUCAUUUCUUGGUUUGGUCUACCCAAACUUAUAACCAAGGUAAAACUCCAAAACCCAACGAAAUUUGACUUUAGGGUGAAUCUCGGC
rnacentral:lncRNA from 1 species